UACGGGGGGGGCAAGCGUUGUUCGGAAUUACUGGGCGUAAAGGGCUCGUAGGCGGCCAACUAAGUCAGACGUGAAAUCCCUCGGCUUAACCGGGGAACGGCGUCUGAUACUGGAUGGCUAGAGAUUGGGAGAGGGAUGCGGAAUUCCAGGUGUAGCGGUGAAAUGCGUAGAUAUCUGGAGGAACACCGGUGGCGAAGGCGGCAUCCUGGACCAACACUGACGCUGAGGAGCGAAAGCCAGGGGAGCAAACGGG
rnacentral:rRNA from 1 species